GAGGUAAUGGCUCACCAAGGCAUCGGCGGGUAGCUGGUCUGAGAGGAUGAUCAGCCACACUGGGACUGAGACACGGCCCAGACUCCUACGGGAGGCAGCAGUGGGGAAUCUUGCACAAUGGGCGAAAGCCUGAUGCAGCAACGCCGCGUGCGGGAAGAAGGCCCUAGGGUUGUAAACCGCUUUCAGCAGGGAAGAAGAUGACGGUACCUGUAGAAGAAGGUGCGGCCAACUACGUGCCAGCAGCCGCGGUGACACGUAGGCACCAAGCGUUGUCCGGAUUUAUUGGGCGUAAAGAGCUCGUAGGCGGUUCGGUAAGUCGGGUGUGAAAACUCUGGGCUCAACCCAGAGCCGCCACCCGAUACUGCUGUGACUUGAGUGCGGUAGGGGAGCGGGGAAUUCCUGGUGUAGCGGUGAAAUGCGCAGAUAUCAGGAGGAACACCAGUGGCGAAGGCGCCGCUCUGGGCCGUGACUGACGCUGAGGAGCGAAAGCGUGGGUAGCAAACAGGAUUAGAUACCCUGGUAGUCCACGCCGUAAACGUUGGGCACUAGGUGU
rnacentral:rRNA from 1 species